GAUGGCCAUGUCACAGGAAUUAUCAGGAGAUUCCCAGACCUGGAGGUCACUUUUGAACCUUACUCUUGCAAGGAAUUGAUUCAGUGCAGUAGACUUCUACCAAAGGUGACAAUCCAUUGCUGAGCCUGCACCCACAGUUUCAGGACUGACCAAACCCAGGGGAAAGGAUGCUUUUGGGGGACAAUAUGAUCAUGUCACCAAGACUGGCAGACAGGCCUGGAGGAUGCCUUGCACAGAUACUGUGGACCACAUGCCCUGGCAGAACUACACUCAGCAAGCCCACAUAAAUUCUGUCUGGAGCUGUAAAAGUAAAAAGACACCAGUUCCUUCCAUCCUGUUGAAUUCAGGCAAGGUUCAACACCUUCAUCCAGGUUUGAAUCAGCACAUCAUCUCAUACAUGGAAUCACAGAAUAUCCUGAUUUGGAAGGUGCCCACAAGGAUCAUCAAGCUCAAAUCCUGGCCCUACACAGGACAUUCCUAAGAAUCACACCAUCUGUCACCAUGUACAUCAUCAACCCCUGCACUGAAAGGACUUUUGAACCUCAGAUAAGAUGCUUCCAAAAGCCAGGUGCAGCCAGGCCUCUGUGGCGCUUUGCACUGCGCAGAAGUGAGCUCUCCUCCAGGGACACUCAAUCCAAGGCAGACAAAGAAAACAUGGAGAAAAACAAGCACCUGGCAGAGAAGUGCCAAGCCACAGGCAACAGGAUAUGGGAAUGUCUCCUCUCUGCCCUGCUCACUGCACUGUGACACUUUUCAAAUAAUGAACCUCCUGUACCUGGCGAGA